GUGGGGAAUAUUGGACAAUGGGCGCAAGCCUGAUCCAGCCAUGCCGCGUGAGUGAUGAAGGCCCUAGGGUUGUAAAGCUCUUUCACCGGAGAAGAUAAUGACGGUAUCCGGAGAAGAAGCCCCGGCUAACUUCGUGCCAGCAGCCGCGGUAAUACGAAGGGGGCUAGCGUUGUUCGGAAUUACUGGGCGUAAAGCGCACGUAGGCGGAUAUUUAAGUCAGGGGUGAAAUCCCGGAGCUCAACUCCGGAACUGCCUUUGAUACUGGGUAUCUCGAGUAUGGAAGAGGUGAGUGGAAUUCCGAGUGUAGAGGUGAAAUUCGUAGAUAUUCGGAGGAACACCAGUGGCGAAGGCGGCUCACUGGUCCAUUACUGACGCUGAGGUGCGAAAGCGUGGGGAGCAAACAGGAUUAGAAACCCCAGUAGUCC
rnacentral:rRNA from 1 species